GUGAGUUCCUACUCAAACAACUGUUUCUGAGAUGGGGCAAGGUAUUCAUUUUUGUUUGUUUGUUUUGAUCCCAGGAAUCAAACUCAACCCCUUGCACUUGCCAGCAGGCACAUCUGCCACUGAGCUACCUCCCCAGCCUGGUAUAUGGUGUUAAAAAAUUACAGGAGAGUCUGGACCCAAGAGGAAUGGAGGAGACAUGGAAAGAAUGUCACCGUCAGUCUUGUUCCUCCUCAAGGGGACAGAGCAGAGGUAAAGAUAUUCCCAGCCUCCACGCCCACACUACCACCAAAGAGGCCACAUUUCACCUGCAGUCAGAUUGCCUAACCGUUGAGGAACUCAUCUUACAACUUGAAUUUUGAUGAAAUUUAAUGUUUAAGAUCUGUUUUAUGUAAUUAAUUUCUUGUUCAGAAGUCUACUCAGUCUCUGACACAGAGUGGCUAUAUUGUAUUGAAUUGAAUGGAUGAAUGCGUGUAACCUAACUAUCACUAUCAAAUCCACACAGAAUUAUUUUAAGUAUGAAAAAAAUCUUUACUGUCAAUUCUAACAUAUGUUAGCUGGGACAAAUCAAUUAAAAAGCAAGACAACACAUUUUAAGUUUUUUUUUGUUUAAGUCCUAGAUAAAUUUACUUUCAAAAUCACCUCCAACCUCUGUGCUCCACAAAGGGAUGUAUGGAAUUUAAUUACUAUUAAUUACUGUUAUUAUUUCCUGAUGUUGCUUAUCAGAAUAUUUCAUUUUUAUGCCAAUUAGAGUAUAAUUAUUAGGAUAAUGGACUUUACAAAAACCAAUUAUGCAAGGAGACUGGAUGGGAUUUAUCUCUAGUAAUUGAGUCUUAACAAUUUAAGAUCAAAAUAAGUGAAUCAAAAUGAAAAUGUAGAAUCAUUAACCCCCCCAGGCAUCAACAAUAAGGUUGAUUUGCUCUUCUUUUCCAAAUUAAGCUAAUAUUUUACAAUGUCACAUCAGUUGAUAUAUACAGGCCCCUUUCACAGUGAGUAAAAUUGUGUUUAUCAACAUAUAACACAGCCCCAGGCCAUGCAAAUUCUGUAAAACUUUUCUUAUCAGAGCUUACAUUUGAUCCAAACACCCACACAAGGACUCGAGAAAUUCUCAGUUAUAAUAUUUACUCGGAACUUACGGAAUCCAUCUGAGAGACAGAGGAAAAGAGAUACACUUGUAGUAUGACUCUCCCUUGCUAAUAAGGCAGAGGUCGAUCAAUGAAUACUAAGUUGUAGUUAGAUAAGAGCAAGGAGUUUUGGUGACCUGCCAUACGGUAUAGUGACUGUAGACAGUGAUUGUGUGUUGUACAUUUCAAAGAGCUAGAAGAAAGGAUUUGGACUGCUUUUAACAUAAAUGAUAAAUAUUUGGAGACAGGUCUUUUUAACUAAUUUGAAUAUUAUACAACAUAUAUAUGCAUUGUAACAUCAUUUAGUACCCCAUAAACGUA
rnacentral:lncRNA from 1 species